CAGCCGCCACGGUAAUACGUAGGUGGCAAGCGUUGUCCGGAAUUAUUGGGCGUAAAGGGCUCGCAGGCGGUUUCUUAAGUCUGAUGUGAAAGCCCUCGGCUCAACCGGGGAGGGUCAUUGGAAACUGGGAAACUUGAGUGCAGAAGAGGAGAGUGGAAUUCCACGUGUAGCGGUGAAAUGCGUAGAGAUGUGGAGGAACACCAGUGGCGAAGGCGACUCUCUGGUCUGUAACUGACGCUGAGGAGCGAAAGCGUGGGGAGCGAACAGGAUUAGAUACCCCUGUAGUCCCUGUCUCUUAUAC
rnacentral:rRNA from 1 species